rnacentral:rRNA from 1 species
GGGUUGUGAGGUUAAGCGACUAAGCGUACACGGUGGAUGCCCUGGCAGUCAGAGGCGAUGAAGGACGUGCUAAUCUGCGAUAAGCGUCGGUAAGGUGAUAUGAACCGUUAUAACCGGCGAUUUCCGAAUGGGGAAACCCAGUGUGUUUCGACACACUAUCAUUAACUGAAUCCAUAGGUUAAUGAGGCGAACCGGGGGAACUGAAACAUCUAAGUACCCCGAGGAAAAGAAAUCAACCGAGAUUCCCCCAGUAGCGGCGAGCGAACGGGGAGCAGCCCAGAGCCUGAAUCAGUGUGUGUGUUAGUGGAAGCGUCUGGAAAGGCGUGCGAUACAGGGUGACAGCCCCGUACACAAAAAUGCACAUGCUGUGAGCUCGAUGAGUAGGGCGGGACACGUGGUAUCCUGUCUGAAUAUGGGGGGACCAUCCUCCAAGGCUAAAUACUCCUGACUGACCGAUAGUGAACCAGUACCGUGAGGGAAAGGCGAAAAGAACCCCGGCGAGGGGAGUGAAAAAGAACCUGAAACCGUGUACGUACAAGCAGUGGGAGCACGCUUAGGCGUGUGACUGCGUACCUUUUGUAUAAUGGGUCAGCGACUUAUAUUCUGUAGCAAGGUUAACCGAAUAGGGGAGCCGAAGGGAAACCGAGUCUUAACUGGGCGUUAAGUUGCAGGGUAUAGACCCGAAACCCGGUGAUCUAGCCAUGGGCAGGUUGAAGGUUGGGUAACACUAACUGGAGGACCGAACCGACUAAUGUUGAAAAAUUAGCGGAUGACUUGUGGCUGGGGGUGAAAGGCCAAUCAAACCGGGAGAUAGCUGGUUCUCCCCGAAAGCUAUUUAGGUAGCGCCUCGUGAAUUCAUCUCCGGGGGUAGAGCACUGUUUCGGCAAGGGGGUCAUCCCGACUUACCAACCCGAUGCAAACUGCGAAUACCGGAGAAUGUUAUCACGGGAGACACACGGCGGGUGCUAACGUCCGUCGUGAAGAGGGAAACAACCCAGACCGCCAGCUAAGGUCCCAAAGUCAUGGUUAAGUGGGAAACGAUGUGGGAAGGCCCAGACAGCCAGGAUGUUGGCUUAGAAGCAGCCAUCAUUUAAAGAAAGCGUAAUAGCUCACUGGUCGAGUCGGCCUGCGCGGAAGAUGUAACGGGCUAAACCAUGCACCGAAGCUGCGGCAGCGACGCUUAUGCGUUGUUGGGUAGGGGAGCGUUCUGUAAGCCUGCGAAGGUGUGCUGUGAGGCAUGCUGGAGGUAUCAGAAGUGCGAAUGCUGACAUAAGUAACGAUAAAGCGGGUGAAAAGCCCGCUCGCCGGAAGACCAAGGGUUCCUGUCCAACGUUAAUCGGGGCAGGGUGAGUCGACCCCUAAGGCGAGGCCGAAAGGCGUAGUCGAUGGGAAACAGGUUAAUAUUCCUGUACUUGGUGUUACUGCGAAGGGGGGACGGAGAAGGCUAUGUUGGCCGGGCGACGGUUGUCCCGGUUUAAGCGUGUAGGCUGGUUUUCCAGGCAAAUCCGGAAAAUCAAGGCUGAGGCGUGAUGACGAGGCACUACGGUGCUGAAGCAACAAAUGCCCUGCUUCCAGGAAAAGCCUCUAAGCAUCAGGUAACAUCAAAUCGUACCCCAAACCGACACAGGUGGUCAGGUAGAGAAUACCAAGGCGCUUGAGAGAACUCGGGUGAAGGAACUAGGCAAAAUGGUGCCGUAACUUCGGGAGAAGGCACGCUGAUAUGUAGGUGAAGUCCCUCGCGGAUGGAGCUGAAAUCAGUCGAAGAUACCAGCUGGCUGCAACUGUUUAUUAAAAACACAGCACUGUGCAAACACGAAAGUGGACGUAUACGGUGUGACGCCUGCCCGGUGCCGGAAGGUUAAUUGAUGGGGUCAGCGCAAGCGAAGCUCUUGAUCGAAGCCCCGGUAAACGGCGGCCGUAACUAUAACGGUCCUAAGGUAGCGAAAUUCCUUGUCGGGUAAGUUCCGACCUGCACGAAUGGCGUAAUGAUGGCCAGGCUGUCUCCACCCGAGACUCAGUGAAAUUGAACUCGCUGUGAAGAUGCAGUGUACCCGCGGCAAGACGGAAAGACCCCGUGAACCUUUACUAUAGCUUGACACUGAACAUUGAGCCUUGAUGUGUAGGAUAGGUGGGAGGCUUGGAAGUGUGGACGCCAGUCUGCAUGGAGCCGACCUUGAAAUACCACCCUUUAAUGUUUGAUGUUCUAACGUGGACCCGUGAUCCGGGUUGCGGACAGUGUCUGGUGGGUAGUUUGACUGGGGCGGUCUCCUCCUAAAGAGUAACGGAGGAGCACGAAGGUUGGCUAAUCCUGGUCGGACAUCAGGAGGUUAGUGCAAUGGCAUAAGCCAGCUUGACUGCGAGCGUGACGGCGCGAGCAGGUGCGAAAGCAGGUCAUAGUGAUCCGGUGGUUCUGAAUGGAAGGGCCAUCGCUCAACGGAUAAAAGGUACUCCGGGGAUAACAGGCUGAUACCGCCCAAGAGUUCAUAUCGACGGCGGUGUUUGGCACCUCGAUGUCGGCUCAUCACAUCCUGGGGCUGAAGUAGGUCCCAAGGGUAUGGCUGUUCGCCAUUUAAAGUGGUACGCGAGCUGGGUUUAGAACGUCGUGAGACAGUUCGGUCCCUAUCUGCCGUGGGCGCUGGAGAACUGAGGGGGGCUGCUCCUAGUACGAGAGGACCGGAGUGGACGCAUCACUGGUGUUCGGGUUGUCAUGCCAAUGGCACUGCCCGGUAGCUAAAUGCGGAAGAGAUAAGUGCUGAAAGCAUCUAAGCACGAAACUUGCCCCGAGAUGAGUUCUCCCUGACUCCUUGAGAGUCCUGAAGGAACGUUGAAGACGACGACGUUGAUAGGCCGGGUGUGUAAGCGCAGCGAUGCGUUGAGCUAACCGGUACUAAUGAACCGUGAGGCUUAACCUUACAACGCCGAAGCUGUU